AUGAUUUCUCUCCUGUGUGACUUCUCUCAUGUCUAAUAAGAUUUGAUUUAUCUGAAAAAAGUUUCCCACAUUCUGAACAUGAAUAUGGCUUCUCUCCUGUGUGACAUCUCUCAUGUUUAACAAGAUCUGAUUUAUCUGUAAAACAUUUCCCACAUUCUGAACAUGUAUAU